rnacentral:rRNA from 1 species
UACCAGCACCCCGAGUGGUCGGGACGAUUAUUGGGCCUAAAGCAUCCGUAGCCGGUCCUACAAGUCUUCCGUUAAAUCCACCUGUUUAACAGAUGGGCUGCGGAAGAUACUAUAGGGCUAGGAGGCGGGAGAGGCAAGCGGUACUCAGUGGGUAGGGGUAAAAUCCUCUGAUCCAUUGAAGACCACCAGUGGCGAAGGCGGCUUGCCAGAACGCGCUCGACGGUGAGGGAUGAAAGCUGGGGGAGCAAAGCCGG